rnacentral:rRNA from 1 species
GACGAACGCUGGCGGCGUGCUUAACACAUGCAAGUCGAACGGAAAGGCCCUGCUUUUGUGGGGUACUCGAGUGGCGAACGGAUGAGUAACACGUGAGUAACCUGCCCUCGACUUUGGGAUAACUACAGGAAACUGGGGCUAAUACCGGAUAGGAGCUCCUGCUGCAUGGUGGGGGUUGGAAAGUUUCGGCGGUUGGGGAUGGACUCGCGGCUUAUCAGCUUGUUGGUGGGGUAGUGGCUUACCAAGGCUUUGACGGGUAGCCGGCCUGAGAGGGUGACCGGCCACAUUGGGACUGAGAUACGGCCCAGACUCCUACGGGAGGCAGCAGUGGGGAAUAUUGCACAAUGGGCGGAAGCCUGAUGCAGCAACGCCGCGUGCGGGAUGACGGCCUUCGGGUUGUAAACCGCUUUCGCCUGUGACGAAGCGUGAGUGACGGUAAUGGGUAAAGAAGCACCGGCUAACUACGUG